AACAGGGAGGGACAGUUUGACUUCCUCUUUACCAACUUGGAUGCCCUUUAUUUCUUUCUCUUCUCUGAUUGCUCUGACUAGGGCUUCUAGUACUAUGUUGAGGAGGAGUGGUGAGAGUGGGUAUCCUUUUCUCGUUCCAGUUCUCAGAGGGAAUGCCUUCAACUUUUCCCCAUUCAGUAUUAUGUUGGCUGUGUGGUUUGUCAUAGAUGGCUUUUAUUUCAUUGAGAUCCUUUGGCAGCCCUUCUCAAGGACCUCUGUGAGACAAAAUCAGAAAUGGCUUCCCUGGGGACCAAGAGAGCCCACAAGCCUCUUCCUGCUGCUUCUUCUACCCCUGUAUUUUGUUUGACUCUCUAAAUUUGUCUCAGCUCCAGGUCUGGAAGAAAAUUUUGGGAAUCUAUUAAUCCUCUGAGGCCUUCAAAGCCACUACCCUAGACUGGCUUCCUCUCUGCGCUCACCUGUCUGUUGGGCGUCUGUGACCUGCCCUCACUGGGUGACCUGGAUUGACGGCGCUCUGGGGACUCCCAGUCAGCCUGGGUCCCUCGCUCUUCUGAAUUGCAGCGGGAGACAUCAGGAGAGAGAAGAUGCUUUCGCUCUUUUGAUCGUCCCCGCUCCCUGCCCCCUGAGCGUCCUUGGAGAGUAAGUGCAUCAGGGCAGGAGCCCACUGCCUGAUGAAAGAGCUGGACACUGAAGACCUCCUCACCUGAAUCAGAGUUCAGGCGGUGGGCUGACAGCCGCAAGGAGGAGUGGUAACUCCGGCGACGGGACUUGUAGGUAUUUUCACUGCUUCGCUCCAUGGAGAAUUCCUCCAACCACGAGGAAUUUGAACGCUUAUCCCGAAUAGUGGAAAAUGAACGUCUCAUGGAGCUAGGGUCUGUCACCACCUGGAAAUACAAGCCCCCAGAGAAACACAAGGUAUGGAUUAACGAUUGAAAAGAUCUAAAAGGACAGAAGCAGCAAGACUGAGACGUUAAGGAAGGCAAAUUGUAACCCCUGGAAAUGGUAACUUCCCUUGAAUCUCUCUUGCUCAAACCUUAGCUGGUGGAAACUGUUCAAGAAAGCAUCCUUACAUUAUGUUAAUAUAGUCACUGGAAAUGGUCCAGGAUCUUUUCUUCUGUAGCUGAGUGUACCAAGGCAAAGCCAUGCGGAAUGCAGGCAGGAACUGUGCAAGCUCCCAUAGAGCCCUCUACCAUGGGGCGCAGCCAGGCUGCAGCAAAUACUGUGCUGCUUUGAAACAUGUGAGGGCAAUUGUCUAAGAGGCCACCCCAUUCAUGAAAGAAGCAUGGCUUUGCUUUUUUUUUUUUAAACGCCCUUGCCAGAGAAGGCCCUGCCCUGCAGCACUAGAGCCUAGGAGAGCUUGCAAUUUAACAAGUGCUAAGAAUGUAUCACUCUCCCUCUGCUGCCAUCAAUCCCACCUAGCCCCGUUUUAAAUUCUGGCAUUUUGAUUUGCCACAGAUAUUAAAACAAAUCUACAAAAACUUCUUGUCUCUGUCAAAACCUGAUGUAAGACCGACAGACAGGAAAAAGAAGCCAGGAAAACAGACAAAGAAAUGAGAUGUGGCCUGCACUGGUUAGGACAGACAGUCCUGACACAGACCUGUGUGUGUAAGUAACUGCAUAUGUGCUGGAGGAGUCAGGAAACAAAAAAAGGAUGGAGAAGUACACAGAGAAAAUCCUGGAAAAUAUUUCUUGCAUGGCUGGUUGAAUCUUGAGAAUGUUUAACCCGUCCGGAGUGAAGUAUGCAAUUUUGUUCGCUGGGCUGUUGUGGUUAGGGGGGGUCAUUGAAAACACCGGAGAAGCAGGCUCUAUUAGAGACGACCCAUGAGCCAGGUUUUAUUUAUAGGGAAGGGGUGCGGGCAAGUCAACGGCUCACCUGCAAAUAUCAGAUAUUAUUCCAUAACCCAGCUAAUACAGCCCGGAUGCCACUGCAUUAAUGUAGGUGGUUGCUUUUUACCUGGGGAUCCACAGUCAGACGUGGCAUAGAAGAUGCCCUCCCAGAUCCCGCAUGCUCCUGGGUGUCCGAAGGAAGGUAGAUGCCAUGGUUAGAGGGCUGCACGCUUUUUAAUUCACUAACCUCUGGCUCCUGGAAAUAAACACACAGCCAAGCUUGUGGGACUUGGUUCCAUCUCAUUGCUUCUCACGUCCAGUGGACAAUUCAGCCUCCUCAAGAAUGGCUUUCAAAAGAGAGACUUGCAGCUUUAAGGUCUCAGUUGUAUGUAUAUGUGUGUGUGUGUUUAUGUGCACCUAUGUGCUAUAUGUUCCGGACAGGAAGCUCUAGCUGGGAUUGAGUGCUGAAGGUCACCUAUUUUUCUGGUGUAGAUUCCUCUUUUUCAUCACUAAGCAAUGAUUCAGAUUUUAUUGUUUUCUGCAACAAACACUGUUUGGUAUAAUACUUUUCAGAUAUGUGAAGUUCGCUUUCUAAGAAGUGAUAGCAUUGGAUUUAUUCUUUUAAUCUGAAGAAGCCUUUUAUCAAUUAAAUAGAAACCAGUUUUCUAAGGGAAGUCAACAAUUUCUGAUGUCAAAUACGUCUUCUCAAGCCUUAAGACACGUGACGUUAAGAGUUUUCUUCUGAUUGAAACCAUCCA
rnacentral:lncRNA from 1 species